rnacentral:sRNA from 1 species
UCCCACAUACAUUAGAGGAUACCAUGAUUACUUCCAUUCUGACAAACACAGCAACUCAGCCUAAUCGCACACCGGGGGCAAACAAGUACUAUAAGGACACACCAGCCCAACCACUAAGAACUAAGGGCAUGUCUUGUUUUAAACUCCGCACUCAAAGUCUUGCCUACUUGCUCCAUGGCCCCCGAUCACCCUUGAUCUGUCACUAUUGCUCCCAACUGCGCCGAUCUUGCACCUCGGCUAUAAGUCAUGUUGUAAUAACUCGUUCUCAAUUUUACAAUUUUAUUAAUUUUAAAAGAGUGAAUUGAUGAAAAUGCCCUAGAGGUGAAAUUUUUAACUUUCGUUAACCAGCGCAUAGUGAGACAUACAAAAUAUCCUUUUAGCGUAUCCUUGAAGUACUCGACGAUACGAACACGUAGGCGCAAGCAGAACUGAAUUUGGAAUUAUGACGAAGAUUUUACAAAUUUCAGAACGUGGAAGACGUUUUGGUAAAUUCAAGUUGUGGAAGAUAUUUUUCUGUUUUUCUUUUGUGGCUUUAUUUUGUGAGCCAGUGGGGCUCACGCCCCAUUCCUCCACCUCUCUCCCGUGUCCCCCUACUUCUCGGGACUCUGUCUCACCUUUUUUUUCAAAUUUCCCUCACCUCACUUCUCCACUCUUUAGCUGUCACCUCACCCUACCUCAUUCUCUCCAUUCACUCUCUUCCUUAUUCCUCGGUAAGUACCGAGAUGGUGCAACGGCAUCGCCACACACCACAUUCCCAGCGAACUCCAUCAUAGCCAUCAGUGAAUAUCAUGAUUCUCACUCUCCCUUUUUCAUUAAUGUCCUCCCUCGUCUCUUUCU